AUCUCUUGACGUUAGCAACAGAAGAAGCACCGGCUAACUCCGUGCCAGCAGCCGCGGUAAUACGGAGGGUGCGAGCGUUAAUCGGAAUUACUGGGCGUAAAGCGCAUGCAGGUGGUUCAUUAAGUCAGAUGUGAAAGCCCGGGGCUCAACCUCGGAACUGCAUUUGAAACUGGUGAACUAGAGUACUGUAGAGGGGGGUAGAAUUUCAGGUGUAGCGGUGAAAUGCGUAGAGAUCUGAAGGAAUACCAGUGGCGAAGGCGGCCCCCUGGACAGAUACUGACACUCAGAUGCGAAAGCGUGGGGAGCAAACAGGAUUAGAUACCCUGGUAGUCCACGCCGUAAACGAUGUCUACUUGGAGGUUGUGGCCUUGAGCCGUGGCUUUCGGAGCUAACGCGUUAAGUAGACCGCCUGGGGAGUACGGUCGCAAGAUUAAAACUCAAAUGAAUUGACGGGGGCCCGCACAAGCGGUGGAGCAUGUGGUUUAAUUCGAUGCAACGCGAAGAACCUUACCUACUCUUGACAUCCAGAGAAGCCAGCGGAGACGCAGGUGUGCCUUCGGGAACUCUGAGACAGGUGCUGCAUGGCUGUCGUCAGCUCGUGUUGUGAAAUGUUGGGUUAAGUCCCGCAACGAGCGCAACCCUUAUCCUUGUUUGCCAGCGAGUAAUGUCGGGAACUCCAGGGAGACUGCCGGUGAUAAACCGGAGGAAGGUGGGGACGACGUCAAGUCAUCAUGGCCCUUACGAGUAGGGCUACACACGUGCUACAAUGGCGCAUACAGAGGGCAGCAAGCUAGCGAUAGUGAGCGAAUCCCAAAAAGUGCGUCGUAGUCCGGAUUGGAGUCUGCAACUCGACUCCAUGAAGUCGGAAUCGCUAGUAAUCGUAGAUCAGAAUGCUACGGUGAAUACGUUCCCGGGCCUUGUACACACCGCCCGUCACACCAUGGGAGUGGGCUGCAAAAGAAGUGGGUAGUUUAACCUUUCGGGGAGGACGCUCACCACUUUGUGGUUCAUGACUGGGGUGAAGUCGUAACAAGGUAGCCCUAGGGGAACCUGGGGCUGGAUCACCUCCUUAUACGAAGAUAC
rnacentral:rRNA from 1 species